UAACCUGCCCAAGAGAUCGGGAUAACACCUGGAAACAGAUGCUAAUACCGGAUAACAAUAGAUGAUGCCUAUCAACUGUUUAAAAGAUGGUUCUGCUAUCACUCUUGGAUGGACCUGCGGUGCAUUAGCUAGUUGGUAGGGUAACGGCCUACCAAGGCGAUGAUGCAUAGCCGAGUUGAGAGACUGAUCGGCCACAUUGGGACUGAGACACGGCCCAAACUCCUACGGGAGGCAGCAGCG
rnacentral:rRNA from 1 species